rnacentral:rRNA from 1 species
CCCUUAGAUGUCCUGGGCUGCACGCGCGCUACACUGGAAGUUACGGAUUGAGAUACUACCUUGUCCGAAAUGGUCCGGGUAAUCACCUAAAAGCUUGUCAUAAUUGGAAUGGAUUAUUGUAACUAGUAAUCCUGAACGAGGAAUUCCUAGUAAGUCCCAGUCAACAGCUGGUACUGAUUACGUCCCUGCCCUUUGUACACACCGCCCGUCGCUACUCCUGAUUGGACGUUUAAGCAAGAUUUUUAAACACUGACAGUGUGUAGUUCACGCUAUACUACAGUGAGAAGAAGAAGAUCGAGCUUACUUGUCUAGAGGAAGUAAAAGUCGUAACA